ACUUGAAUUGAAGAGUUUGAUCAUGGCUCAGAUUGAACGCUGGCGGCAGGCUUAACACAUGCAAGUCGAACGGUAGCAGGUAAGUACUUGUACUUAUGCUGACGAGUGGCGGAC
rnacentral:rRNA from 1 species